UACGUAGGGUGUGAGCGUUGUCCGGAAUUAUUGGGCGUAAAGAGCUCGUAGGCGGUUUGUCGCGUCUGCUGUGAAAACUCGGGGCUUAACCCCGGGCCUGCAGUGGGUACGGGCAGACUAGAGUGCGGUAGGGGAGACUGGAAUUCCUGGUGUAGCGGUGAAAUGCGCAGAUAUCAGGAGGAACACCGGUGGCGAAGGCGGGUCUCUGGGCCGUAACUGACGCUGAGGAGCGAAAGCGUGGGGAGCGAACAGG
rnacentral:rRNA from 1 species